UUUGUUUUGGGAUGCAAUUUCUAACAAUAAACUUAUAUCAAUAGCUAUAAACAUUACUACGUAUUGUAUUUGGAAGUGAAUUAUUAAAGUAAAAACGGGCAAAAUAAUGAACAGUACAAGUGCCAUUAUCAGCGGAUAAGGCGGCGGCCGUUAUCUCACUGAUAACGACAGAUCUUCGUGAACUCAUUCUUUGAACAUUCCUUCUAUUCAAUGUUAUUGAAGUAUUGAGGACUAACAUUUUUAGAAUAGUAGAACAUGAAUAAAUAUGUGUGAGUGUCACGGAAACCCAAAACUUGAUACAUAAUUUAUGAUAUUAUGCCUAUAACGCCGAUAUCACACGGUGGCGAAGAACGACAUCAAUGUAAAAUAAUACAUAUAUUUUUAACCAGUUGGUUAAUAGAUAUACACGUAGACAAGUGAUGAGUAAAGAUUCCGUCCUUAAGAUAUUUUUAUAGUCGUUUAAGAAGUCAAAUGAGAAUUAACAAUAACGUACGUAGAACCGGAGUAAUGGCGGUCAAUAUGAGGAAUAGUUUAAGGAUACUCUGGACGACGGUUGCUGCGUUCGUGUUCCUGACGCGGAGCAGCGCC